rnacentral:tRNA from 1 species
AGCCUUAAAGUGAAAAGUCACGUUGAAUUGCAAAUUCAAGGUUGUAGAUAAUAAAUUCUACUAAGGCUU